GCGAGAGUGCGCGGGCGAAGAGAGUUUUCCCCCAUCAAGUCUGGCUCAGAGGCACGAAGGGAGUUUAUGAUGAAUAAAAUGCUUAUGAACAAAGAAAAAAGUGCCUAUAGAGUACAUAAAGUAGCCUUGCUUUGAUUAAGAAAAGUUAACGUCUGGCAUCAACAUGGUGAAGUCACAAGGCCAAACAGAUCAGAACUGUUGCCAAGACGGAGGGUGCUGACUCUGCUGUGCACAUUGCACAACAAAACACAAUGCGUGGAACUUGAUCCAUAAAUACAAAUUUUCCUCUCAGUAGUAGUAUGUUUAAUCUCCCACAGGGCUCCCUUUUAGAAUUUGCUAGAUUCUUAAAGUCCUCCUAAAUCUGCAAUAUUAUCACU